CCUACGGGAGGCUGCAGUGAGGAAUAUUGGUCAAUGGGCGAGAGCCUGAACCAGCCAAGUCGCGUGAAGGAUGACGGCCCUCCGGGUUGUAAACUUCUUUUGUCAGGGAGCAAUUGAGUCCACGUGUGGUCUUAGCGAGAGUACCUGAAGAACAAGUAUCGGCUCACUCCUUGCCAGCAGCCGCGGUAAUACGGAGGAUGCGAGCGUUAUCCGGAUUGAUUGGGUUUAAAGGGUUCGUAGGCGGAAUAUCAAGUCAGCGGUAAAAAUUCGGGGCUCAACCCCGUCGUGCCGUUGAAACUGAUGUUCUUGAGUGGGCGAGAAGUAUGCGGAAUGCGUGGUGUAGCGGUGAAAUGCAUAGAUAUCACGCAGAACGCCGAUGGCGAAGGCAGCAUACCGGCGCCCAACUGACGCUGAAGCACGAAAGCGUGGGUAUCGAACAGGAUUAGAUACCCCUGUAGUC
rnacentral:rRNA from 1 species